rnacentral:lncRNA from 1 species
GUUUUUUAGAUGAAGAACUCUAAAGACCAGCACUGCAUUUAUGUGUGACAUAAGGACAAUAGAUGAAGUCAGACAGGUAAUAAUAAUUUAACAGCAUUUAUUCCCCAAACUUUCCCUCAUACUCAGUGAUCAUAAUCUAUUUCUAGCUGAGAGAGCAGAAGAAAAGAAGGAUGAUGAGAUGUAUGGUUCACUUGGAAACUUAUUACUGGGUAGAUAUCACUGAUGGGAGAGAACGCCAAAUUUCCUGCAGUAGAAUCCUUUGAUCCAACUUGAAGUUUGGGUCAAGUUUUAGUGAAUAGUUGGUCUUGCCCAUGUCCAAGGUUGAAACUCAGGUAUGUCAUAAAUAAAGACGAAUACACGAGAAAGUUUUGCAAUUUUAGUGAGGAAAUGAGUUAGGAGGAAAUUAAUAAUGUAAUUAUCUGUUCCUCUAACAUAAAAAAAAAUUUGAGGGUAAAUAAAAUAAAUAGUCAUUUAGGGGUCAAUAUUCAUGAAUCAAUAUAGAGGCUGGGAUUCAACUAUAGGAAGCCCUAGGAAAGGAAUUCAAUUUAAAAAAAUCAGCUUUUGAUUUAAGCAAAGGUUCAGUAAUAAGGUGAAAAAAAGGUUUGAAUGUAUUUAUGAAUACAUGAAAACACAAAUAGAUUUCUACAUCUGUAUGAAAGAAACAAGUCAGUCUCGAAGGCCAAAUUCUAGGAACUAAGACUUUCUAGGAAUGAGGAAUUUUGGUUGGAAGUGCAGCUAGAUCACUGGUAUCUUUCCAAGGCAUAAUACAAUUCUCAAGACCAUCUAUUUGAUGAAUGAAUGAAUACAUGAAAAUUUGAAAGUUGUGCCAAAUCAGAAGAUAGAAAUACAUUUGUCUAUAAAUCAGACAGAAGAUGAAUAUUGCCAUACAAGUGUAUUUAAUUCCAUCUGUCCUUUAUUCCAGAUUUGUUUCUAAAAUGUUCAUUUUGCUUCUACGUCUUAGGAAGAAUUUAAUGAAGCCACUGACAGUUACAUGGAUCACCCCUUGGUUUAAUGAUCUUCCCCCAGGGCUUCCUUACAGGAGGGUCUGCCCGUUCUGGGCAGCCACAAAAUUCGUGUGAAUGGCUAUACCAAUGAGACAGUCUCUUCCCUUGACAUUAUUUACAUAUAAAUUCUUAGUCACAGAUUAGAUAUUUUAAGAAAAUCUUUUUUCCUGCUCUCUGGCCAACAAAUGAUGACACCAGCUUAUUUGAUCAAUGUUACUCCAUUUGAAGUCAGUUUAAGCAGAGUGAGCUACAAACACGGUGGUGGAUCAGAUUAACAUUUUUUAUGCAGCCUUUUUUUCAAAAGAGAGAAAAUAUCCUGACUGCAUGAUUUUCAUCAUCUGCUGCUUGAAUUCCAUUGCUGCCCAAUUCAGGCACAAACGACGACAUCCGAGCUGUACGAUCUGCCUCUCUUAAAGUUUUAGAGCAUACCGCUGGUAUUUGACACAUUUAUUCCAUGAUAUAUUAGACACAGUGCAGCUUCAGUUAUUAUUAAACAUUUUUAAAUGUCCAAUUAGCAAUACAUAACAUAUAACAUAUGACACAGCCUAUGUUUUCAUCACACUGCAUUAGAAUUGUUACUAAACGGACAGGGUGGAUGUGGCAUGCUGUUUUUAUAACACAGUGUCAAUGUGGCAACAAUCACUGCAAUAAAAAUGACCUAAAUGAAUGUACAGAUUGUCUUCUAUGGGCCUUAAAGUGGUCAAGUAGUAUUAAAAGCACAUUUUAUGAUGUGUCCCCUUUUCAUUACCUAUUACCUUAGUUCAAUUUUUUUAAAUAUAUUUUUAGGGCUGCACCCAUGGCAAAUGGAGAUUUGAAUAGGUGUUGAAUCAGAACUGCAACUGCUGGCCUUUGGCACAGCCACAGCAACGCAAGAACUGAGCCGCUUCUGUGAACUACACCACAGCUCAAAGCAACACAGGAUCCUUAACCCACUGAGCAAGGCCAGGGGUCUAACCUGCAUCCUCAUGGAUACUAGUCAGAUUUGUUCCCACUAAGCCACAGUGGGAACUCCAACCUUAGUUCAAAUUCUUAUAUGGUCCAUAUGUGGAAACUGUUCCACAAAAAAUCUGUCAGACCUAUUUUUGAAUAAUCAAGUGAACACUAACCACAAUUACAGAGCAAUUCUGCACCUCUCAAAACUGAUGGAAAUGGUAACUUUUAAAAAGCACAUAUUUAAUGCAAAAUUAAAAGUACAAAAGAAUUUGAAAUGUAUCAAAUAUAGAAGAGUAUAAAAGAAAAAGAGCAAGAAAGGCAGUGAUUUGUUUAUUGCAUUGCUGAAUUUUAAGUGAAAAUUCUUAAUGUAUUUGAAAAUUCUUGUCUGUUUUUUCCCCAAAGAAUGUUUGAAAAGAUGUCUAAUUUAAAAAUUGGUGUGACUUUUAUUUAUAUGUAUAGAUUUACAUAGAGCAAAAAGUAUUUGUUUUUGGUGUGUAGAGUUCUAUGAGUUGUACCAUAUACAUUGACUCAGAUACAGGAUGGUCUACACCUUACAGAAUUUCUUCUUGCUGAACUUUAGUAGUUUCCCCCCAUCCUCUCAUAUACCUAACAAAAUGGUAUAGGCACUCAGGAAACAAUCUGGAAAUAUCUCAUAUUUUAAUUUGACCCAUAAAUUAUCACCAUAUUUACAAAAUUGUCUGGGGUUAAAAUGCGACUUUAACAUAUUGGAUAUUGAUUUACCAUAGAAUACACCAAAGAAAGAGCCCCAAAAGUGAAAAAGUUAACAUUUUUCAUGCUGAUGAAGACUGGAGUCUAUAAAGAAAACCAUCCCACAAGUUAUUCACUGUUGACACAUACCUAUGAGAAAGUGAAUGAUGAAAAAACUGGAGCUCAGAAGUCCGUGAAAUCAUCUUCUUUAUAUAUUCUCUUAUAGGGGCUAUCUCUCAUAACCAGGUGUCUUUAGCUUGAGUUCAAUCCACAUGUCACCUUAUGUGGAUAUAUGAUUCCCCCAGUGCUGGGUAAUGCUCUUUUCUGUUGCACACCAGAGCAAUCACUCAGGAUGAGUAAACUGGGCAUUGAUUUGGAGAUAAUAACCCCCCUGCCCCAAGCACACUCUAUAGCUGUCCACUUGGCUCCAGUCACCAAUCCAAAUUCUUUUACUUUUUCCUCCAAUUCUUUCUGUUUCUUGAUUUUGUUGAGCUUACUGUCCUGCGUACAUUUGAAAAAUAGGCCUGGAAGCUAGUUUCUUGAUGUAUAUGAACAACACAUGGUCUGUUUUCUUGCAACUGAAAAUAAAGUUUCCAGAAGCUAAUACAUCCGCCAAGUUAGAAGUGGGGAGAAAAACACAUUAAAAGCAUUGUGACUACAAAGAAAGUUUCUUCCAUUAGGUGAGUUGUUAGACCUCAUGACCUCUGAGGUAUUUUUUAAGUAUUAAUGACCAUUCCUGAAAGACAGUAAUCCAUGCUAGGACAUGUAAAUUUAGUGACUGAAUUAUGCUGUCUACCUCCCCACAUCACUUGGCCUAUGUAGACUGAAAUCUGGUGAGUUUAACAAGCAUUUAGCUGCUUGUUAAAAUCAAGCUUCUGGAACUUUAAUUAAUGAUUGACUUGUCACUAGUUUUAUUUUAUUUGAGACUCUGACUUUUCAUUUAAGGGCAAAUUAUGCUUAUCAUUUGGCAAAAUCUCAUCUGUAGUUAACUGAUGGCAGUCUUUGAAGAGGCACAUUUUUAUGCCAUGUCACAUAGACAGUAUAUUCACUUCUCCUCAUUCUUGUACCUUUAGACCUUAGCAUAUCUACUAUUCACUGGAUUCUUCCCACUUGAUAUAAUAUCUGUAGUAAUUCAGGAGAAUAUAAAUUGAGAAAAAAAUAAAAUAUGCAUAAAUUUGAUUAAAUAUUUUAAUGCAAAUUUAAUAGUUAAGUGAGCACAUGAUAGAAAAGAAAAAGUAUUCUCAUAUGGCUUACUGUACUGAACACUGUCAUAUACACACUUUGCCAGUCAAAUAUAUAGAAACACACACACACAUAAAACAUACACAUAAAACAUACUUUAUAUUAAAUAAAUAAUUAUUAAAACUUCCUCUAAAAUCAAAAUGUAGGGAGUUCCCAUUGUGGCUCAGUGGUUAACGAAUCCGACUAGGAACCAUGAAGUUGCAGGUUUGAUCUCUGGCCUUGCUCAGUGGGUUAAGGAUCCCGCGUUGCUGUGGCUGUGGUGUAGGCCAACGGCUACAGCUCCAAUUCGACCCUUAGUAUUGGAACCUUCAUAUGCCACGGGAGUGGCUGUAGAAAUGGCAGAAAAAUAGAAAAAUAAAAAUAAAAUCAAGAUGUAAACAUGUCUGCUAUAACUACUUCUAUCCAAUAUUAUCCUAGAAGAACUAAGUAGCACAGAAAGACAGGAAAAAAAAUGUAUGAGGUUUGCAAAGGAGAAAACACAACUAAAUUUUUUUUGACCAAAAUAAUUGAAUACAUAUGCACUAAAAAUUUACAAUAAAUUAUUGAAUUCAUAAGAAAAUGUAUCACAUUUUUCACAGAACCAGAACAAACUAGCCAAAAAUUUAUAUGGAACCAUAAAAGACCCAGAAUUGCCAAAGAAAUCCUGAGGAACAAAAACCAAGAAGGAUGCAUAACUCUCCCAGACGUCAGGCAAUAUUACAGAGCCGUGAGAAUCAAGACAGUGUAGUACUACAGUGUGGUACUGAUUCCAAGACAGACAGACCAAUGGAACAGAAUAGAGAACACAGAAAUAAACCCAGACACCUAUGGUCAAUUAAUCUUUGACAAAGGAGGAAAGAAUAUAAAAUGGGAAAAAGAGAGUCUCUUCAGCAAUAGUGCUCGGAAAACUGGACAGCAACAUAUAAAUCAAUGAAACUGGAACACACCCUCACAUCAUGCAAAAAAUAAAUAAACUCGAAAUGGCUUAAAGACUUGAAUGUAAGCCAAGACACCAUCAAACUCCUACAAAAGAACAUAGGCAAAAUUUUCUCUGACAUCAACCUUACAAAUAUUUGCUCAGGUCAGUCUCCCUAGGCAACAGAAACAAAAGCAAAAAUAAACCAAUGGGACCUAAUCAUACUGAUAAGCUUUAGCACAGCAAAGGAAACCAUAAAAAAAACAAAAAGACCACUUACAGAAUGGGAGAAAUAGUUUCAAAUUAUGCAACUGACAAAGCCUUAAUCGCUAAAGUAUACAAUCAGCUUAUACAACUCAACAGCAAAAAAAGCCAACAACCCAAUUGGAAAAUGGACAAACUAUCUGAAUAGACAUUUCUCCAAAGAAGAUAUACAGAUGGCCAACAAGCACAUGAAAAAAUGCUCAACAUCCCUGAUUAUUAGAGAAAUGCAAAUCAAAACUACUAUGAGGUACUGCCUCACACCAGUCAGAAUGGUCCAUCAUUAAUAAGCCCACAAAUAACAAAUGCUGGAGAGGGUGUGGAAAAAAGGGAACCCUCCUACACAGUUGCUGGGAAUGUAAAUUGCUACAACCACUAUGGAAAACAGUGAGGAGGUACCUCAGAAAACUAAAUAUAAAGCUACCAUAUUACCCAGCAAUCCCACUCUUGGGCAUAUACCCAGACAAAUCUUUCCUUAAAAAAGACGCAUGCACCCACAUGCUCAUUGCAGCACUAUUCACAAUAGCCAAGGCAUGGAAACAACCUAAAUGUCCAUUGAUAGAUGAAUGGAUUAAGAAGAGUGUAAUAUGUACACAAUGGUAUACUACUCUGCCAUAAAAAAUAACAAAAUAAUGCCAUUUGCAGCAACAUGUAUGGAACUAGAGACUCUCAUACUAGGUGAAGUAAGUCAGAAAGAGAAAGACAAAUUCCAUAUGAUAUCACCUAUAUCUGGAACCUAAUAUAUGGCACAAAUGAACUUUCCACAGAAAAGAAACUCAUGGUCUUGGAGAACAGACAUGAAACUACCAAGAGGGAGAGGGGGUGUGUGUGAUUAACUGGGAAUCUAGGGUUAAUAGAUGCAAACUAUUGCCUUUAGAAUGGAUAAGCAAUAAGAUCCUUCUGUAUAGCACUGUGAAUGAUAUCUAGUCACUUAUGAUGGAGCAUGAUGAAGGAUAAUGUGAGAAAAAGAAUGUAUGUAUGUAUGCAUGACUGGGUCACUUUUCUGUAUGGUAACAAAUUGACAGAACAUUGUAAGCUACCUAUAAUGGAAAACAUAAAAAUCUUAAAAAAGAACUUUAGAGGGGGAGUUCCCAUCGUAGCACAGUGGUUAAUGAAUCUGACUAGGAACCAUGAGGUUGCAGUUUCCAUCCCUGCCUUGCUCAGUGGGUUGAGGAUCCAGUGUUGCUAUGAGCUGUGGUGUAGGUUGCAGACGCGGCUUGGAUCCCGCAUUGCUGUGGCUGUGCCGUAGGCGGGCAGCUACAGCUCUGAUUAGAUUCCUAGCCUGGGAAUCUCCAUAUGCCACGGGAGUGGCCCUAGAAAAGGCAAAAAGACAAACAAACAAAAAACACUUUAGUGUUAUCAUCUGUGAAAUAUGUCAAUAAAAUGCAUGUUCCAGGACUCUUAUAAGGAUUAGCCACAAGAUAUGUAGUCUUCCUCUAUGUUUUUUGGCACAUAGCAGAUACUUGACGGCUGAAUUGCUAUUGAUCUUCAUAUCUUUUUACCCCUUUGCAUCACUCUUUUAUGUUUAAAAAGAAGCAAUAACAAUUGAAAGCAAAGGUAAUUUUUGAAAGUUUAAUAUAUUCCACAGUGGAUAGAA